CAGAUAUAGAGUUGGAAAAGAUAACCUAAAAGUGCAAUGAGGAAAGCAGAAAGCACCCCUAGGGCUUCAAAAUACACAAAGGAACCAUUUUAUUGUAAGCAAAUGUGCAUUAUAAUACAGUCAAUGUUUCAGUCCUUUUACCUAGACAUAUUGAGUUUGGUAAUGGGACUCAGUUGGUGACUGUAUACGAUUACAUCAUUGUAAGUUGUUAAUUAAGUUGUUUUGUUUAUUUUGAAGUCCUAUCAAUGUGCUUAUUCACUUAGGAUAUGCUACCUUUCCGGA